GCUGGCGGCGUGACAGCAAUAGCGACUGGCUGUGCUUCCGACUCCGCGCCGGCAGGAGGAGGUGACGGCGGAGGUUGGCUCCUUACUGAGCGUGCAGGCUGCUGCUGCUGCUUCUGCUGUACGCCUCCUGCUCAGUCUCUGCCUCGAGCUGCCCUGGAGCCCCUACCGCCAAACCCCACCCCUGAGAGGCAGACAGAUUUGGAGUGAAUCAGGUCAAAACUUUGCCCCACGUCUGUGCAGUGCCCACUCUUGGAGACAGCUCCGUGUGACGUUCUGGGAGCUGAGGGAGCUGGACGCCAGAGACUUGGCAAUGGUCUGUGUGUGAACUGAGACUACUGAUCUCAUCUGGUCUAGUCAAGACUUGGUUGAACUUGGCUGAAUUCAGCUGGGCUCUACUCUAGGACACAGAGCUCUGAGGUCUCAAGUGACUUCCGAUGAAUACAGGCCAUGAUGAACGCCACACCGACCUUUGUUUCAGGACAAGUGGAAGAGAACCACUGAAUCAGUCACAGACAAGCGAGUCAACUUGAUCCUGGCUUUACAGAACUACAGAUACCACCAGAUUCCCUUACCCUCCAACUGAUGCCUCUGAUCAGCAGGAAGAAGCUGCAGAAGAAGAGACCUUCACCCCUUUUCCUAUUAAAAACAGGGAAGAAUCUUAGGUGGAAACUCUGAGCAACAAAGCAGCCAUAAAAGUGUCAUCAUGAGUUAUAGAUCCGCUCCAGCCCGGACUUGUCGCCACCUCAGAACACUGUCGGACAGAUCCAUCUGGACGGUUGAGUUCCCUAAAACAAAGAUAGCCUUCCGGCCAGCUAAAGAUUAAAACUGUUGGGAGUUCCCGUUGUGGUGCAGUGGAAGUGAAUUGACUAGUAACCGUGUGAAUGCCAUUUCCAUCCCUGGCCUCACUCAGUGGGUUAAGGAUCUGGCAUUGCC